GGGGUGGUAGCUCAGUGGAACGGCAUCUGCUUUGCAUGCAGAAAGUCCUUGGUUCGAUCCCCAGCAUCUCCA